rnacentral:lncRNA from 1 species
AUGGCCCCAAGGUCAAUGAGACAGACCCACCCCUGCCCUCUGAGGACCACCAGAUGUGGGACCAGGAUGAGGAGGCUCCAAGGCCGAGGCGCAGAACGGACACGGAUAGCGCACCGGGCAUGGGCUGGGCGCUCGACAGACUUUAUAGCCACAGCGACGACGCUGAGCAGAAUGACGAUCAUCUCAAGGAGAAAACACUUCGUCAUUCUCUCCGCUUGUGUCCCAGAUGCUACGGAACUGGUCCAGAUCUUACUAUUUGGCCACCUCCUUUCCUUGCAGACUGUGUGGGUUUAUUUUUCCUCUGGUUGCUUUGCCAAAAGCCAGAGUAACAACCCCACAACACCUGCCACUUGGUAAGAGGAGAAUUAUUAUUAUUAUUUUUAACCAAAAAGGCACUGAUUACGGCAGGAAAUCCUGAAGUGUGGGCAGCGAUGGGUCCCAGCUUGGUACGCCCAGACUCUCCACGUGUCCCCCCACGGGGGCCUCUUCCUGUGUCAUUUCUGCACUGGCCUCAGAGGCCCCAUGACCUAACCCCGAAGUAUAGCCAAGGAGAGGGGGUUUAGAGGCUGGCCACUGGAAGAGUCCAGCAAUUUCCUUUUAGGGCUGGACCUGUGACCUCAGGCUACCCCGGCAGCUGUCUUUAGAAUGACCCCCCCGGUAGUCUUGACUGUGGGUUGCACACAUGCAUGUACACGCAAGCACGCCCGCGCACGCCACACACACACACACACACACACACACACACAGGCGGCUCACUCAUUGAUAAAGACAGCCAGCAGUUGGUGUCAUUGCAGGACAGACAACAGUCUCCAAACCACGAGCAAGGAGUGAGAACAGCGCUGUGGGGCUGACCUUGGAAUCCUGGUCCCCUCUGGCUCCCGGGAGCAGGGAGCGCACAGAACCCAGCAGGGAUUUGAGGGACCUCAGUCUCCCGUCUCCACUUCCUGCUGAGCUAUGUCCCUGGAGAUUCUCUAGACCAAGUGCCAAAUCUAUCUCUCUGAUAAGAGAAUCAGGGUGAUCAUGCCAUCCUCAGCACUUCAGGCGGCCAACACCUAAAUUUUGUGGGUGCAUAGAGUGAUUGCCUAUUGCUGGGUGAUCACUAAUCCCAAAUUCCCCUGUUCUUGGUAAAUGGGCAAGGAUGGAGAAAGCGCCAGCCUCCACCGAGCAAAUCCUAACACCCACUCUGACACUGUUUACGGGCGGCCCCGAGAGUGUUGGCAUUCAUUUCUUCUAUGAUGCAUUUUCAGAGUGCUCAUAGCUCAUUGCUCUCUGUGCAGAGAGAGCGGCUCCCAGAGGCCUCGUGACUGGGGGAGGUUACAUGGGAGGCCCACAAACACCAAGUGGGUGGCAUCUGGUGCCCCUGCAGAACAGGGAGGCUUCCUGGAGGAAGAGUCUGGUCUAAACCCCAGGAGCAAUGGACUACCGCCAUUGAAGUUUUAAUCGAGGGGGAGAGGGCAGUGAUGUGAUCAGAUUUGCUUUUUGAAAGCAUGUUCCAGGGACAGUGUGGAGAGUGGAAUGUUGGGAUCCAG